rnacentral:rRNA from 1 species
AAGGUAGCGUAAUCACUUGUUCUCUAAAUAAGGACCAGUAUGAAUGGUUAAACGAGAAUCUAACUGUCUCCUGCAAACAGCCAAUGAAAUUGAUCUUCCUGUGCAAAAGCAGGAAUAACAUCACCAGACGAAAAGACCCUGUGAAACUUAAACCACCUAAGUUAAACCAACAAUACAACUGUAACCCCUACAACCGUUUACACCUAACUUAGCGUUUUCGGUUGGGGUGACCUUAAAACAAAAAAAAACUUUUAAGACAACUAUAACUAAGACCAAAUUAUUAACCAAGACCCACACCUCANAGUACUUAAAUGUAAUUAGAUCCGACAACGUCGAUCAACGAACAAAGCUACUCCAGGGAUAACAGCGCAAUCCCCCUCAAGAGCCCAUAUCGACAGGGGGG